AACUUUCAGCAACGGAUCUCUUGGCUCUCGCAUCGAUGAAGAACGCAGCGAAAUGCGAUAAGUAAUGUGAAUUGCAGAUUUUCAGUGAAUCAUCGAAUCUUUGAACGCACCUUGCGCCCCUUGGUAUUCCGAGGGGCAUGCCUGUUUGAGUGUCAUUA
rnacentral:rRNA from 1 species